CAGCAGCCGCGGGAAUACGUAGGUCCCGAGCGUUGUCCGGAUUUAUUGGGCGUAGAGCGAGCGCAGGCGGUUAGAUAAGUCUGAAGUUAAAGGCUGUGGCUUAACCACAGUACGCUUUGGAAACUGUUUAACUUGAGUGCAAGAGGGGAGAGUGGAAUUCCAUGCGUAGCGGUGAAAUGCGUAGAUAUCGGAAGGAACACCAGUGGCGAAGGCGGCUACCUGGACUGAGACUGACACUGAGGCGCGAGAGCGUGGGGAGCAAACAGGAUUAGAACCCGCGUAGUCCCUGUCUCUUAUACAC
rnacentral:rRNA from 1 species